rnacentral:piRNA from 1 species
UGGUGUCGAUCCUUGCCUGGGCC